CGGCAGAGUACAGCGACACAGAUGGGAUGGCAGUACCGGUCAAAGGAGACCCAUUUUGUCCAGGAGGAAACUUAGGACAGCAAGAAAACAGAUCACUGCAGCAAAGUGGAGACUGUGCAAUACGACAGGGUCUCUGCUUUACAGUCGGCAGUCCUGUCAAACAUUGUACAUGUCGUCUCCCUCUCACAUGCAACCCGACCACUAAAGCUUGAAAUUCCACACAGGUUAGUCAAAGUCCAUUUACAGGCGACGCGUCCGCCCGCCGAGGCGUCGCUUGCGGACAAAAGCGUCCAAGUCUCAGGUGUGCCACAGUCUUUGUUUACACGUCUCUUCUUGAGAACAACGACAGCAGUGUUCCAGCCAAGAGGCCAGGUAGAGCCUGCAUGCAGAAAAACACCCUUCCAGCAUGUCCAAAAUCAUGAAAUAUGUAAGAGGAUAAGUGGGGGAUAAAAUACAAAACCACAGAAGCUUCCCGCAAAAGAGAAGCUGCAGUCUGAGAGCAAACACAAGUCCAAACAAACAUGUAAGCCUGAGUAGACUCUUAAUGAGUCUUUUUUUGUCUUUUCCAGCUUGUAAUCCCAGCGCUGUGUCUGAACCGGUUUUACAUGUGCCAGCUUCGCCUAACUAACAAGGCCCUGCUCUGGCAGCCUCAUCUGCAUUCUAAUCAGCCUCAUGCUCAUCAGCAAAUGCCACAUUAAUACCUCUCCAUUGCUUUAAUGACCGUCGUUAUGGAGAUAACUAUUAUGAUUACCAACAUCGUGCGCGCCCUGCUUGAGAACCCACCCUGAAUCAUACGUACUGUAUAUUUAACAUUUGGUGGGUGUUGUUCACAUAAUAAUGCAUUGUGUUCAGGGAAUCGAUAACCUUUGACUCGAAGCAAGGCUUCGACUUUAAUGAAGUGGCUGGACUACAGUAUGUGCGUGUUUUAUGAUCAGAAUUACUUUUUAAAGACAUGAGACAUAGCUGUGGUCAGAGAGAAGACAAGACUGAAGCAUUUACCCCCCCCACCCCACCCCUUUAAUUGAACGUUAACACACGCAAUUUUAACUAUUCAAUGUAGGCCUGGCCGAUUGAAACUGUUUUUUUAUGUUCUUUGCAAGGGGUGGGAAAACUGCGGCUCACGGUCCACGUCAGGGCCACCAAGCGUCACCUGGCAUUUCCGAAUUGUUCAUAGUUCAUAUUGUUGUUGCAGCUGGACUACCCAGCAUGCCUUGCGGGCAUUUGGAAAUAACAGUUUUAAGUUAUGUGUUAUGUUUAGUGCUGGGUUGUUCAUUUAUGUGACGCGUUAACUCGCUGCGGAUGUGUUGUGUUUUCGUUUCGCUGCACCGUGAGCAAGUAUGUCGUUCUGCCUGAUGCCACCUACAUAUAGACGGCCCCCCCGCCAAAUUUUUUAACCCAAUGUGGCCCGUGAGUCAAAAAGUUUGCCCACCCCUGCUCUAUGCUAUGCUUUUUUAUGCUUCCAUGCUCUAACUAUGAAAAUAUUCUGUUUAAUAAUAUUAAUGUAUAAUAAUAUUAUUAUAAUAAUAUUAAUAUUGAAUUGUGCUUUGUGGAAGUUCACUUAUGGCGGUCGAGUCUGGAACCAAUUAACCGCGACUGCACAGGAAAUUUUAGUUGAAAUUUUAACUUGGAACUUCUAGUCUAAAAUCAAUCAGUUAAAAACAAUAAAAUGCACUUUAAACACUAUUAGCAUUAAUGACGAGGUCUAUGUAAUAAACGUUACGCAUCUUACUUGUUAACAUUAACUGUCACGCAAAUCUAACCCACAAAUUUUUUCUUGCGUAUCUUGCUUGCUGCUGUAACAAGUGAAUUUCCCCGCUGUGGGAUGAAUAAAGUACAAAUAAAGUACAAAUACAAAAUGUGAAAACGUUAAAACAAAUACGACAGGUAAAGCUAGCGCAAGAAGCGAACAUUGCAGUCUACAUCUUCAAUUCUUCUUCUCAAAGAGCACAAACAAAAAGGAUUCAAUGCAACAACACCACUUUUAGAUCCAAAUCAAAGUCCUUUGUACACAAAAUACUGCGCCCUGCUGGCUGAGAGUCCUAGCAAGCCAACGGCAAUCGCUUAUACUGGUUAACACGAACAGUAUUAAUAGAGAUAAGUCUUUUGAUUGCGUUUCCCUCUUGAAUGAACACACUGAAACAUUAACACUGUGAUGCCAAACUAUCAUCUAUAAUGUAACAGGGACACAUCUGGCACUUACAGCCAUUAUGACACUGAUGGUCGACCACACACACACGCACACACACACACACACUAGCGUUUAUUUUCGCUCCAACGGACUUCCUGUGUGUCGUACCAGCUGGAAGAAAUUCACUGGCUUUUUUUUUUGCUGCAUCAUGCAAAGUCAAGGAGGCAGCAUUACAAAAGUGGGACAAUUAUUCCCACUAACCAAAAUAAAAGGUCAUCUUAAAGUAUCAGCUCAGGAUAAAUGAUUUAGCUUUGUGUCUGCUUUAAUAAUUCAGACGCGUGUGCCCUGUGGGAUUGUGAGAAAAAUGUCCGCUCACUUGCGAAGCCGUCUGCCCAGGAGAUCACAUUACCAGUCCACAAGCAACUCUUAUAGCUGUUAUGAGACGCAGAAUGGAGGUCAAAUGUUAGGAUGCUAAAUGAAAACACAGUGAUUACCAGUUCAGUGAUAAUGACUUUUUCAUAUGAUCAUGGUCAUCUAUCAGGGAUGUAACCACAGAUGAUGGCAAUGAAUCACCUCUAUUUGUUUGUGAUUAAAUGAACUGUGCUAGUUGAGUUUGCUGUGAAGGCCUCUACACUUUGCUAGCAGCAGACCAGCUUAGCUUUAACAGAAUUAUUUGGCACAGAUACACUAUCAGUUUGUUUUUAAAAAGUCACUCUACCCCUUCACUAAACCUGAUAUGGUUCACGACUUAGCCUUUGCAAGUGAAUUUCAUAUGAAAACCAUAUUGUUAGAUAACAACAUCGAAACUAAACUAAAUUACUUUUCUCUGUUAGAGACUGCAGGAUGGCGAAAACAAACAAAGCACCUCUAAAAUAAGUACUACAAUGCAAAUUAUGUUUCUCGUUGUGUGAUUGCUACAUGCUAAAGCUAGCUGUUGUUUGUUUCAGCCUACAUGCUAGCACAUUAAAACACUGUCUAAAUGACCCAAAUGUAAAUAUGAAUGAAUAGAAAACUUAAGACUGAUAGCAUCAGUGGCAGCGCUCUGGGGUGGCCAGGCGUGGCCACGCUCACCCUUGGUCACUCUGCGGCCACCCCAGCGGCUGGAGGACAAUUUUGACAAACGCAGCUCUGUGUUGCAUUAGUUCAGCCUAACUGCUGUUUCCGCUUGGACGCGUUUCACUGCAGCGCACAACUUUCCGU